rnacentral:rRNA from 1 species
GUUAUAGGGUCAAGCGAACAAGUGCAUGUGGUGGAUGCCUUGGCGAUCACAGGCGAUGAAGGACGCGGUAGCCUGCGAAAAGCUUCGGGGAGCUGGCAAACAAGCUUUGAUCCGGAGAUGUCCGAAUGGGGAAACCCGGCCCGUAUGGGUCAUCCCACACUGAAUCCAUAGGUGUGGGAAGCGAACGCGGCGAACUGAAACAUCUAAGUAGCUGCAG